ACGGAUGUAGCUUAAUGGCAAAGCGUCGGUCUCCAAAACCGAAUAUUGUGAGUUCGAAUCUUACCAUCCGUG
rnacentral:tRNA from 1 species